GAUGAACGCUGGCGGCGUGCCUAAUACAUGCAAGUCGAGCGAACAGACGAGGAGCUUGCUCCUCUGACGUUAGCGGCGGACGGGUGAGUAACACGUGGAUAACCUACCUAUAAGACUGGGAUAACUUCGGGAAACCGGAGCUAAUACCGGAUAAUAUAUUGAACCGCAUGGUUCAAUAGUGAAAGACGGUUUUGCUGUCACUUAUAGAUGGAUCCGCGCCGCAUUAGCUAGUUGGUAAGGUAACGGCUUACCAAGGCAACGAUGCGUAGCCGACCUGAGAGGGGGAGAGGCCACAUGGGAAGGGAGACGGGGACAGGAGGACUACGGGAGGGAGCAGACGGGAAUGGGAGGCAACGGGGGGAAGUAUUACGGAGUAAAGGGAAGCGAGUGACGAAGGUGCUGGGAGCGGAAAAAUGGGUUACGAGUGAAAAACAGAUGUGUCAGGAAACAGGCCGGGAGUGACGGUAAUGGAUAAGAAAGCAACGGCUAACUACGUG
rnacentral:rRNA from 1 species